GGGCAGUUGGCAGAGUGGACAAUUGCACCAGACUGUAAAUCUGGCGGCCUUGCGCCUACGUAGGUUCGAAUCCUACACUGCCCACCA
rnacentral:tRNA from 1 species